UUCUUCUUCUUCUUUUUCUUGAUCCCGCCAUUGUCAGUGCCCUUCAGCUUGAGGCUGCCUUUCUGAACUGUGUCGUAGGCUGAUGACAUGAUUCUCCUAGACUUACAACGACCAAACGACGAAAGUUACAAACCCGGAAACUACAGACAGCACAAUAUAUCCCACAAUGCACAUCGCUAUAC